UACGAAGGGGGCUAGCGUUGCUCGGAAUCACUGGGCGUAAAGCGCACGUAGGCGGCUUCUUAAGUCAGGGGUGAAAUCCUGGAGCUCAACUCCAGAACUGCCUUUGAUACUGAGUAGCUUGAGUCCGGGAGAGGUGAGUGGAACUGCGAGUGUAGAGGUGAAAUUCGUAAAUAUUCGCAAGAACACCAGUGGCGAAGGCGGCUCACUGGCCCGGUACUGACGCUGAGGUGCGAAAGCGUGGGGAGCAAACAGG
rnacentral:rRNA from 1 species